rnacentral:rRNA from 1 species
GACGGAGGGCGCAAGCGUUGUUCGGAAUUACUGGGCGUAAAGCGCGCGCAGGCGGGAAGGUAAGUCUGGAGUGAAAUUCCGGGGCUCAACUCCGGAGCUGCUUUGGAUACUGUCUUUCUAGGGACCGGUAGAGGUCGGUGGAAUUCCGGGUGUAGCGGUGAAAUGCGUAGAUAUCCGGAGGAACACCGGUGGCGAAGGCGGCUUCCUGGACCGACACUGACGCUGAGGCGCGAAAGCUAGGGGAGCAAACGGG